CAGCAGCCGCGGUAAAACGGAGGGGGCUAGCGUUGUUCGGAAUUACCGGGCGUAAAGCGCACGUAGGCGGCUUGGUAAGUUAAAGGUGAAAGCCCGGAGCUCAACUCCGGAAUUGCCUUUAAGACUGCCGAGCUAGUAGGUGAGAGAGGUAAGUGGAAUUCCGAGUGUAGAGGUGAAAUUCGUAGAUAUUCGGAAGAACACCAGUGGCGAAGGCGGCUUACUGGCUCAUUCUAGACGCUGAGGUGCGAAAGCGUGGGGAGCAAACAGGAUUAGAUACCCCUGUAGUCCCUGUCUCUUAUAA
rnacentral:rRNA from 1 species